rnacentral:lncRNA from 1 species
GAUAAAUGUCAUUGAAUCUAUUUCAAUGAUGGUUCCUAAAUGUCAUGAAACAUUCUUCCACGACAUUUUUUAAUUGUCAUAAAAAAAUCAUUCAUAACGUUUUCAACCGUCAUUGAACAUCUUUCAUAACAGUUUCCAAACGUCAUCAAUUGUUGGGUUCCACUUGUGUGCCUUAAGGUAUGGAUACCCAACAAGUUUUGACUUGCUAUAGCAGGUUAAAGCAAACUAACACCGUUAACUCUCCGUUAAGUCUCUCUAUAUCUACAGUUUUCAUUAGAAAUAUCUACCAAUCAGAUGAGCAAAAUCACACAAAAGUAGACUUUCUAGAAAUCAAAAUGAUUCUUGAGACUGUCUACAACUAUCAUAAGAAACAUCUACUACUGUCAUGAACAAUAUCACAGAAAAUGUUGCAAGUCGAAAGACACAUUUAACAUAAGACACAUCUACUGUUUUCAUUAGAAAAGUAGACUUUCUACAAAUCAAAAUUGUUCAUGAGAUUUAAUCAACCCAAGGUAAAAUGAAAUAUGACAGUAGAUAUAUCUACUGUUUUUAUUAAAAAUCUCUACCAUUAACAUAAACGAAAUCAAAGAAAAGUAGACUUUCUAAAAAUCAAAAUUGUGAGAAUGAGAUUGAACCAACCGAAAGUAAAAUUUUCAAGUCUACAUUUAACAUAAGACACAUCUACUAUUUUCAUUAGAAACGUAUACCAUUAACAUAAGAGAAAUAAAAGAAAAGUAGACUUUCCGGAAAUCUAAAUUGUUCAUUAAAUUGAAGCAACCCAAG